rnacentral:rRNA from 1 species
AGUGAGGAAAAAUAACGAUACGGGACUCAUCCGAGGCCUCGUAAUCGGAAGGAGUAUACUAUAAAUCCUUAUACGAGUAUCAAUUGGAGGGCAAGUCUGGUGCCAGCAGCCGCGGUAAUUCCAGCUCCAAUAGCGUAUAUUAAAGUUGUUGCGGUUAAAAAGCUCGUAGUUGGAUCUGUGUCCCGCGCCGCCGGUUCACCGCCUGUCGGUGUUCAACUGGCGUGUCUGCGGAACGUCCUGCCGGUGGCGGUUCGGUGCGCCCGUAGGUACGUAGGGGUGGCCAAGCAUUGCUCGGUUUUCCUCGAAGUCCUGCGCGUGUUGCCAGCCGCCUCGUCAAUCCCGUCGCGUUGCUCUUCACCGAGUGUCGAGGCGGGCCGGCACGUUUACUUUGAACAAAUUAGAGUGCUUUAAGCAGGCCCUGUCCCGCCUGUAUGUUGUGUGCAUGGAAUAAUGGAAUAGGACCUCGGUUCUAUUUUGUUGGUUUCCGGAAUCUGAGGUAAUGAUCAAUGGGGACAGGCGGGGGCAUUCGUAUUGCGACGUUAGAGGUGAAAUUCUUGGAUCGUCGCAAGACGGACCGAAGCGAAAGCAUUUGCCAAGUAUGUUCUCGUCGAUCAAGAACGAAAGUUAGAGGUUCGAAGGCGAUCAGAUACCGCCCUAGUUCUAACCAUAAACUAUGCCUGCCAGCGAUCCGCCGAAGUUCCUCCGAUGACUCGGCGGGCAGCUUCCGGGAAACCAGAGCUUUUGGGUUCCGGGGGAAGUAUGGUUGCAAAGCUGAAACUUAAAGGAAUUGACGGAAGGGCACCACCAGGAGUGGAGCCUGCGGCUUAAUUUGACUCAACACGGGAAAACUCACCAGGCCAGGACACCGGAAGGAUUGACAGAUUGAGAGCUCUUUCUUGAUUCGGUGGGUGGUGGUGCAUGGCCGUUCUUAGUUGGUGGAGCGAUUUGUCUGGUUAAUUCCGAUAACGAACGAGACUCUAGCCUACUAACUAGGCGUACCCGGUAUCCACAAUCGUGCUACCGGCGAAUAUAUUUCUUCUUAGAGGGACAGGCGGCUUCUAGCCGCACGAGACUGAGCAAUAACAGGUCUGUGAUGCCCUUAGAUGUCCUGGGCCGCACGCGCGCUACACUGAAGGAAUCAGCGUGUCUUCCCUGUCCGAAAGGACCGGGUAACCCGCUGAACCUCCUUUGUGCUAGGGAUUGGGGCUUGCAAUUGUUCCCCAUGAACGAGGAAUUCCCAGUGAGCGCGAGUCAUGAGCUCGCGUUUUUAGUCCCUGCCCUUGUAAACA